GGAAUUUUGGACAAUGGGCGAAAGCCUGAUCCAGCCAUGCCGCGUGCAGGAUGAAGGCCUUCGGGUUGUAAACUGCUUUUGUACGGAACGAAAAGACUCCUUCUAAUAAAGGGGGUCCAUGACGGUACCGUAAGAAUAAGCACCGGCUAACUACGUGCCAGCAGCCGCGGUAAUACGUAGGGUGCGAGCGUUAAUCGGAAUUACUGGGCGUAAAGCGUGCGCAGGCGGUUAUAUAAGACAGUUGUGAAAUCCCCGGGCUCAACCUGGGAACUGCAUCUGUGACUGUAUAGCUAGAGUACGGUAGAGGGGGAUGGAAUUCCGCGUGUAGCAGUGAAAUGCGUAGAUAUGCGGAGGAACACCGAUGGCGAAGGCAAUCCCCUGGACCUGUACUGACGCUCAUGCACGAAAGCGUGGGGAGCAAACAGGAUUAGAUACCCGAG
rnacentral:rRNA from 1 species